GAUCGGAUCGACGAACGGUUUGCGCUGAUGGAUUCGUCUCGUCAAGAGCUUCAAGAUGAUAUGUGGUUCGUCGUCUGGUUCCUCAGGGUUUGAGAGAUAGAUCGAUUUUAAGUUGCGCCUAGAUUAGAGUUUAUGUGUGACGGAUUUUAGGUUAGGUUUUGUCUCAGGGUUUUGGAGUCUAUCGUGCUGAUAACGUGUUGUAAUUAGAGAGUUUAGAGACUGAAUAUUUCUGUGUGUAUUAUUAAUGAUCAAUGGAGGUUCCUUUAUAUAAGGAUUACAAGAUGAAGAUAAAUGAAAAGUAUCCAAAACCUAAACUCAUUAGGAUUAGGAAAACUACUAAUACAUAAUAAUAGAAAGAUUACAUCUAAUAGGAAAAUGAAAGGGUUUCUUUUUCUCCAAGAUUUAUGGCCGCUUCUCUUUCUCCUGAAGUCGGCUCUCUCUCUCCUCUCUCUAGGGCUUCGGCCGUCUCUCCAUCUUCUAGGUAUUGGGCCGGUCUUGGACCGAGCCUGGUUAAUGGCAAUCCACUCCAUGAUUUAUAACAUAACCUAAAAUUUGAAACUAUUAGUUCUUGCAUGGUACUACUAUUACACCGAAAAUAUAUAUAAUUUGCGAAUCUUGAUGAGAGAAAGAAAAACAAUCACAGAGUUAGUAUCCUACGAAAUAAAUAACAUUAUAGUAUGAAAUUAUUGAUGAAUGUAAUGCAUAGAAUUUUAUUCAGCUCGAAACCGACUAUUCAAUUUACUUGGCCAUUACCAAACAUGAUGUAGACUUCUAUUUAGACUUCAAUUAGUUGUUGUUAUUCCGUGUCAGCUUUCCUAGUUUGAAUAUUUUUACUCAGAAAAUUAGACCAUCAUUAUCGGGGCUGCUUAACCGUAUCUUAAAUAAUUUUUUUUUUUAAAAAGAAAAAUACCUAAUAAUGCAAGAGACGUUGUUUAAUUAAGCGCAACAAGAGACGUCCCUUAGGGGACACACGUCGCGACGUCUCCAUCUCUCUCUCAUCUCUCUCAUCUUCUGAAACUUCUCCGUGAAAACUUCCACCGCCGGAAUCGCCGCCGUCUCAGUCGCUUCACUACGUCCUCAUCAAUCGUCGCCAUAAGAAAGGAGUACGCCAAUCGGUGGAACCAGCAAGUUCCAAACUAUCUUCUCUGCUCCAAACUAUUGCUGGGAGUUUGACAAUGCAGGUGCAUUAUUGAGCGUGGACCAAUUUCUUGUCUGCUCUUUUGAGAUUCUGAAACCUGCCUCAUCUUCAAGCUGUAUUGCUCUCAAAAAGGGAUCUUUUAAGGGAGGAAGACCAAUGGUUAUAUGAAUGACAUUCAAGAGUUUGAGCCUGUGGUAAGGCCGCCAACGAUGGAAUCAAACUAUCCUUGAGGAUCUCUCUCGCUCUGUGGUGCCUCCAAAGAAGCCAAGCAUAGCUGAGGAGCCUGCAACAUCUCUGUCUCCGUUCUCUACGGCUCGUGCAUCUCACAACACAUAUAACUCUUCUUCUCUUACCAUUCUUCUCAUGUUCAGGAAAUAAUCAAAAACUUUUUAUACAUUUUGAUCACAAAUUCAUACAUUUUGAUCACAAAUUAUACAAUACUCAAAAACAAUGUUUAAUUUUUUUCUAAGAACCCCUAAAAUAAGAGACUCCCAUUAAAGCACAAAAAUGUUGAUGUCUCUUAGCUAGGUCUCUUAAGUAAAAUUUAAUAUUUAAAAAUCAUUAAGAGACCCAAAGUGAGUUUUUGGGUUAAUGAUGCUCUUAAAGGUUUAAAGAAGAGUUGAAAAAAAAAACCUAACGCUCUAACGCUCCUAGGCACGGGGCUCGAGGUACUCUGUGAUUCAAUGCGCUCCGGCACCGGCGACGCUUUUUCUCGCCGGCGCUGGCCACUCGCGACAAUGUCGUCCGCUGUCUUCAUCUCUCUGCUCAUUUCUCGUUUCAUCUCUCGUGUGCUGCGGAGUCGUAGCGUUUUGUAGGACUAUUCAUGCAGAACGUAUCAUCAUAUUCAUGUUUGUCAGAGUCAAAACUAUUCCUUACUAAGUUUGGUUCUUUUUGUUUUCAGCAAGUGGAGCGAGACAGGCCGAUGCUCAUGUCAACAACCCUGAGCAGUACCUCUCAAAUCCGAGUAACCCUUUCUUUGUGAAGACGCUGGGUAAAAAAAUCGUUGUUCUGUAUGUGAGCCAUCUGGUGACGGAGAAGUAUGGCUUGCAGUUUGGUCCACACAAUUCCCCCAUGCUUUACCUUCUCCCCAACGAAAAAAUCGAGGCAAACACUAAGAUCUACGGAGGGUGUGCUUGUUUCAAUGGCUGGGCUGUUAUAUGUCGAAAGUACAAGCUGAAGCAAGGAGACGCUGUUGUUUGUGAACUUGAGCGCUCAGGAGGUGUGGUCACGGUUGUUAGACUGCAUUUCCCCAACGAAUAAAGAGAUUUGAGUCUUCUCCAAUCUCCUUCCUAUGAGUUAUAGCGUAGUGGUAAGUUUCUCAUAAAGAUGAUUGUAAUGCUAUAUGCUACCCCUUUAUGUUGGGAUAAGUAUCUCUUAAUGGUGUAUUUGAGAAGUCAUCUAACAGUUCAAGACUUAAACUAAGAGCAUCAUUAUCCCGGAAACCCUAUUAAUUUUUUUUUUUUUUUUUACUUUUUCGAAUUUAGAAAAAAAAAAUUUAAAAACGAACCAAUCACUGGCCGCCACGUGUCAGUGGGGGUUCACGAACAGUGUAAGAAACCUUAAGGACCGACUACUAUUUAGUAGUUUUGAUAACUGGUUUCUUUAAAAAAAAAGUGGGUCAUACGCGAGAUCUACACGCUAAGAAACCCUCUAGUAUCCUUGGAUAAAGAUAGCUCUAAGAGUAACGCAAUCAACUUGAUGUUGCUGACUUUUAUUCUUGCAAGUUUGUAGCUAUAAAUGGCAACCUUCAUGUGCCUUCUCACGCAAGAAAAUACAAUAUAACCUAAAUAAA